rnacentral:rRNA from 1 species
GACGUAGGAUGCGAGCGUUGUCCGGAUUUAUUGGGCGUAAAGAGUUCGUAGGCGGUUCGUUAAGUUCGAUGUUAAAGAUCGGGGCCUAACCCCGGGACUGCAUUGAAUACUGGCGGACUGGAGUGCAGUAGAGGCGAGUGGAAUUCCCAGUGUAGCGGUGAAAUGCGUAGAUAUUGGGAAGAACACCAGUGGCGUAAGCGACUCGCUGGGCUGUAACUGACGCUGAGGAACGAAAGCCAGGGUAGCGAAUGGG